CCUACGGGAGGCAGCAGUAAGGAAUAUUGGACAAUGCCCGCAAGGGUGAUCCAGCUAUGCCGCGUGCAGGAAGAAGGCCCUAUGGGUCGUAAACUGCUUUUACACCGGAGAAAACCUCCCUUCGUGAAGGGAGCUGAUAGUAUGGUGAGAAUAAGCAUCGGCUAACUUCGUGCCAGCAGCCGCGGUAAGACGAAGGAUGCAAGCGUUAUCCGGAUUCAUUGGGUUUAAAGGGAGCGUAGGUGGACUGAUAAGUCAGUGGUGAAAUCUUCGAGCUUAACUCGGAAAUUGCCAUUGAUACUGUUAGUCUUGAGUACAGUUGCUGUGGGCGGAAUAUGACAUGUAGUGGUGAAAUACAUAGAGAUGUCAUAGAACACCGAUUGCGAAGGCAGCUCACAAAGCUAGUAACUGACACUGAGGCUCGAAAGUGCGGGGAUCAAACAGGAUUAGAUACCCUGGUAGUCCGCACUAGUAACGAUAGUAUUACUACGUCUGCUAGAGGGACGUACGUUUAGUUAGGUCGUUAGUACGAAAGACGUAAGUAAGUAAGUUACCGUUACCGUAGGGGUUAGGUUACGGCCGGCCGGACGGUUACGGAAACGUUAAAGUUAAGUUAGUUAGGACGGNGNGAGACGCGACGACGGACGACGACGGAGGAGGAG
rnacentral:rRNA from 1 species